UAAUACGUAGGGGGCGAGCGUUGUCCGGAAUUACUGGGCGUAAAGGGCGCGUAGGCGGUCCAAAAAGUCUCCGGUGAAAUCUCCCGGCUCAACUGGGAGCGGUCCGGGGAAACUUUUGGACUUGAGGACAGCAGAGGAGGGUGGAAUUCCCGGUGUAGUGGUGAAAUGCGUAGAUAUCGGGAGGAACACCAGUGGCGAAGGCGGCCCUCUGGGCUGUAUCUGACGCUGAGGCGCGAAAGCGUGGGGAGCAAACCGGAUUAGAUACCCGGGUAGUCCACGCCCUAAACGAUGGAUGCUGGGUAUGAGGGGUAUCGAACCCCCUCGUGCCGAAGCUAACGCGUUAAGCAUCCCGCCUGGGGAGUACGGCCGCAAGGCUA
rnacentral:rRNA from 1 species